GAUGAACGCUAGCGGCAGGCUUAAUACAUGCAAGUCGAGGGACAGCACAGGUAGCAAUACUGGGUGGUAACCGGCAAACGGGUGCGGAACACGUACACAACCUUCCUUUAAGUGGGGGAUAGCCCAGAGAAAUUUGGAUUAAUACCCCGUAACACAGUGGAGCGGCAUCGCUCUAUUGUUAUAGAUACGUCGCUUAAUGAUGGGUGUGCGUCUGAUUAGAUAGUUGGCGAGGUAACGGCUCACCAAGUCUACGAUCAGUAGCUGAUGUGAGAGCAUGAUCAGCCACACGGGCACUGAGACACGGGCCCGACUCCUACGGGAGGCAGCAGUAAGGAAUAUUGGUCAAUGGACGCAAGUCUGAACCAGCCAUGCCGCGUGAAGGAUU
rnacentral:rRNA from 1 species